AUUGAACGCUGGCGGCAUGCUUUACACAUGCAAGUCGAACGGCAGCGCGGGCUUCGGCCUGGCGGCGAGUGGCGAACGGGUGAGUAAUACAUCGGAACGUGCCCAGUAGUGGGGGAUAGCUCGGCGAAAGCCGGAUUAAUACCGCAUACGACCUGAGGGUGAAAGCGGGGGAUCUUCGGACCUCGCGCUAUUGGAGCGGCCGAUGGCAGAUUAGCUAGUUGGUGGGGUGAAGGCCUGCCAAGGCGACGAUCUGUAGCUGGUCUGAGAGGACGACCAGCCACACUGGGACUGAGACACGGCCCAGACUCCUACGGGAGGCAGCAGUGGGGAAUUUUGGACAAUGGGCGAAAGCCUGAUCCAGCAAUGCCGCGUGUGUGAUGAAGGCCUUCGGGUUGUAAAGCACUUUUGGCGGGAACGAAAAGGACUGUGCCAAUACCACGGUUCGAUGACGGUACCCGCAGAAUAAGCACCGGCUAACUACGUG
rnacentral:rRNA from 1 species